UACAGAGGGGGCAAGCGUUGUUCGGAAUUACUGGGCGUAAAGGGCGCGUAGGUGGCCUGCUAAGUCGAACGUGAAAUCCCUGGGCUCAACCCAGGAACUGCGUCCGAUACUGGUUGGCUUGAGUCCGGGAGAGGGAUGUGGAAUUCCAGGUGUAGCGGUGAAAUGCGUAGAUAUCUGGAGGAACACCGGUGGCGAAGGCGACAUCCUGGACCGAUAUUGACACUGAGGAGCGAAAGCCAGGGGAGCAAACGGG
rnacentral:rRNA from 1 species